rnacentral:lncRNA from 1 species
AUGGCUUCCCAGGCACGGGUGCUGCACCAACAAUUUGAAGUCCUUAGGCAAUAUCUAGGGACUGGGGACAAAGCAAGGGUGUUCCAGAAGGAAGAAGGGUCCCCAAAGGGCCUUCUCCUUGAAAAUUUUCAAGCCAGUCUGGGUGUUAUCCUCCUGAGUCUACUUUUGAAGGAGCCAAUACAUACAGCCAAAGGAUUCCUGUGUGCUCAUGUUUCCUGUGUAAACCAAUCAGAAGGCACCUUGGCAAAGACAGAUCUUUACAGCAUACAAAAAGAUUAUUCCACAACAGUGGAUGCUAUUCCUGUUAUUUGGAAUGGGCUUCUGGUUAUUCAAUGGACUUCUCUGUGUUCAAGAUUCACCACGCACAGCUCUGCCCUCACCUGAAAGCCACUCAAAGCUGAUGAUGGUUCACUAAGUCUUUGUAGAGAUCCGAAGUUCGUGUUUCACAGAAACUUGUCUAUUGAUGAAGUUGAUGAUGCUGGCCCAGCAAGUGGAACUGAGCAUGGCAACAGGGUUUUCAUGCUCAGAACCUUCACGUAAUGACAUUUAUCUUUAGUGAAAACUUAUACGUUCAGUCUCACUAUUUUAUGCCAUAUUUUCUAUUCAAUACAAGUUAUAUUAUUAACUGAAGACUCACAUAUACAAUUCUAGAUGGGACUAAGGCAGGCUAGGGCUUGUGAGGAGGCUCCACAGUCAUCAGACACCCCGGUUGCAACUGUCCUUCCACUUUCUAUCCUAAUAGAGGCUUCAGAUCUCAAGGUUACCUCAAGAUGAAAGACUAUGCUACAAUGCUGCUGGAACCUAGCCACAAAGUCAUUUGUUCAUAUAGCAGGAAGAAGAGUAGGAAAGUACAGAAAGGUUGUAGUAUAGACUGACUUUUCUUUCCCACCGGGCAGGGCAGUUACGAAAUAAUCAACAUGGAGACUCAACCUUAAUAAUAAAUGCUCAGCCAAUCGCUCGGGCUUGUUACCU